rnacentral:rRNA from 1 species
CCUACGGGUGGCUGCAGUGGGGAAUAUUGGACAAUGGGCGAAAGCCUGAUCCAGCCAUGCCGCGUGUGUGAAGAAGGCCUUCGGGUUGUAAAGCACUUUCAGUGGGGAAGAAAGCCUUGGGGCUAAUACCCUCGAGGAAGGACAUCACCCACAGAAGAAGCACCGGCUAACUCCGUGCCAGCAGCCGCGGUAAUACGGAGGGUGCGAGCGUUAAUCGGAAUUACUGGGCGUAAAGCGCGCGUAGGCGGUCUGAUAAGCCGGUUGUGAAAGCCCCGGGCUCAACCUGGGAACGGCAUCCGGAACUGUCAGGCUAGAGUGCAGGAGAGGAAGGUAGAAUUCCCGGUGUAGCGGUGAAAUGCGUAGAGAUCGGGAGGAAUACCAGUGGUGAAGGCGGCCUUCUGGACUGACACUGACGCUGAGGUGCGAAAGCGUGGGUAGCAAACAGGAUUAGAUACCCUAGUAGUC